rnacentral:tRNA from 1 species
UCCCCCGUAGCUCAUCGGAAAGAGCACGUGUCUACCAAACGCGAGGUUGCGGGUUCAAGUCCCGCCGGGGGAG